UACUCAUCUUGAACUGUUUUGUGAAUUUUUUAAAGCUUUGUGGUUUUAUGCGACACAUCUCUUCAAUUAAAGAUUAUCUUAAGCACUACAGAGUCGAAUAAGAGACCUAAAAAAAGAGGGGUUGUGGACACUAUGGAAAUUGAGAAGCUACAACAUUUUUUUAAGCUAAAGUGUAGUCCAGAGAAAUGCCCUAACUCUCUUCAAAUCUACGAAGGCUGAGAAAGGUGAGGUGGCUGAAGAAAAGUAGGAAUCUAGCAGAGGUCACUUCAUGAGAUUUAGUGGAAGAAGCCAUCCCUAUAACAA
rnacentral:lncRNA from 1 species